UACGAAGGGGGCUAGCGUUGUUCGGAAUCACUGGGCGUAAAGCGCACGUAGGCGGAUCUUUAAGUCAGGGGUGAAAUCCCGAGGCUCAACCUCGGAACUGCCUUUGAUACUGGGUAUCUCGAGUCCGAGAGAGGUGAGUGGAAUUCCGAGUGUAGAGGUGAAAUUCGUAGAUAUUCGGAGGAACACCAGUGGCGAAGGCGGCUCACUGGCUCGGUACUGACGCUGAGGUGCGAAAGCGUGGGGAGCAAACAGG
rnacentral:rRNA from 1 species